UGGGGAAUUUUGGACAAUGGGCGAAAGCCUGAUCCAGCAAUGCCGCGUGUGUGAAGAAGGCCUUCGGGUUGUAAAGCACUUUUGUCCGGAAAGAAAUCCUCUGGGUUAAUACCUCGGGGGGAUGACGGUACCGGAAGAAUAAGCACCGGCUAACUACGUGCCAGCAGCCGCGGUAAUACGUAGGGUGCAAGCGUUAAUCGGAAUUACUGGGCGUAAAGCGUGCGCAGGCGGUUUGUAAUGACGGAUGUGAAAUCCCCGGGGCUUAACCUGGGAACUGCAUUCGUGACUGCAAGGCUAGAGUAUGGCAGAGGGGGGUAGAAUUCCACGUGUAGCAGUGAAAUGCGUAGAGAUGUGGAGGAAUACCGAUGGCGAAGGCAGCCCCCUGGGCCAAUACUGACGCUCAUGCACGAAAGCGUGGGGAGCAAACAGGAUUAGAUACCCUGGUAGUCCACGCCCUAAACGAUGUCAACUAGUUGUUGGGGAUUCAUUUCCUUAGUAACGUAGCUAACGCGUGAAGUUGACCGCCU
rnacentral:rRNA from 1 species